UACGUAGGGUGCGAGCGUUGUCCGGAAUUAUUGGGCGUAAAGGGCUCGUAGGCGGUUUGUCGCGUCGGGAGUGAAAUCCACUGGCUUAACUGGUGGCUUGCUUUCGAUACGGGCAGACUGGAGGUAUGCAGGGGAGAACGGAAUUCCUGGUGUAGCGGUGAAAUGCGCAGAUAUCAGGAGGAACACCGGUGGCGAAGGCGGGUCUCUGGGCCGAUACUGACACUGAGAGACGAAAGCUAGGGGAGCGAAUGGG
rnacentral:rRNA from 1 species